rnacentral:lncRNA from 1 species
AUGAAAAAUAGGUGGUUGUACUACCAGGUGGCAAAGUUCUAAGGAGGGCAAGCCCUCAAAGCUAAGUUGAAAGAAAUCUUUUGGGGACGGCAAUACGUAACGCCCAAAAGAUCAACUAAUGAGGCCCAAUGGCAUAUUGUUUAAAGGGUAAAAGUACCGGCCUUGUAGUGCAACAUACUUAGGGCCCAAAUAAAGUUGUUUUGUAUUUUUUAAGUUUAUUUGAAGAGCUUAAUAUGGUCAUCCAUAUGCAUCAUAAUUUAUACAUGCAUUAAAGUGUUAUCUUACUGGGCAUUAGCUCACUAAGUCCUUACAUUGCAGGUAACGAUGAGUAGGGCAAACUGGCGCCAAGUCCUAACUAAGACGAAAUGCAUAUGGGCAUAACCGACCUUGGGAUUUUAUGAUGGGCUCAACUUUGUAUUAAUAAAAAUAAGUAUCUUGGCUUUAUGUAAUAAUUAAGUUUUUAAAUAAACUAAGAAAUCUCUAUAUGACUCUUACUUUUCUGUAAUAAAGUUUUGUUGGAUUGUGCUAAACUUUUAGAAUUCGUAUUUAUAUUAAAAGUAACUGUGUUUUUAAGCAUUUUUUUAAGUAAAUAAUAUAGUGGAGUGUUACA